AUUGAACGCUGGCGGCAGGCCUAACACAUGCAAGUCGAACGGUAACAGGAAGAAGCUUGCUUCUUUGCUGACGAGUGGCGGACGGGUGAGUAAUGUCUGGGAAACUGCCUGAUGGAGGGGGAUAACUACUGGAAACGGUAGCUAAUACCGCAUAACGUCGCAAGACCAAAGAGGGGGACCUUCGGGCCUCUUGCCAUCGGAUGUGCCCAGAUGGGAUUAGCUAGUAGGUGGGGUAACGGCUCACCUAGGCGACGAUCCCUAGCUGGUCUGAGAGGAUGACCAGCCACACUGGAACUGAGACACGGUCCAGACUCCUACGGGAGGCAGCAGUGGGGAAUAUUGCACAAUGGGCGCAAGCCUGAUGCAGCCAUGCCGCGUGUAUGAAGAAGGCCUUCGGGUUGUAAAGUACUUUCAGCGGGGAGGAAGGGAGUAAAGUUAAUACCUUGGCUCAUUGACGUUACCCGCAGAAGAAGCACCGGCUAACUACGUG
rnacentral:rRNA from 1 species